AAUCACAAUCAGGCUCCGAGACUACAUUGUUUCAAAUUUAAAAGUAAUUAAUAAUAGAUAGCAAUUUAACAGAAUUAAACUUUCAGAAGUAAAUUGUUACUUUGCUAUACCUUGUAAAUUACCCUUUUCCUUCUUAGAAAUUACCGGAAUUUCGGCCUGCUUAUGUCAAUCUAAGGCCCUGUUGCAAUCCCACUAAUGCCAGACCAUCUACUUUGAAUCCCACUAAUACAACUAGCCUGAAGCAAAUACUCUUCAAAACAACCCUCAUGCACAGGUC
rnacentral:misc_RNA from 1 species